rnacentral:rRNA from 1 species
UACGUAGGUGACCAGCGUUGUCCGGAUUUACUGGGCGUAAAGGGCGCGUAGGCGGCCAGCACAAGUCAGUUGUGAAAUCUCCGGGCUUAACUCGGAAAGGUCAACUGAUACUGUGCGGCUAGAGUGCAGAAGGGGCAACUGGAAUUCUCGGUGUAGCGGUGAAAUGCGUAGAUAUCGAGAGGAACACCUGCGGCGAAGGCGGGUUGCUGGGCUGACACUGACGCUGAUGCGCGAAAGCCAGGGGAGCGAACGGG